UUAGAAUCGGUUUGGAAGGUGCUUAACGGCUCCUUCUGCUUUCUCCCUUUGCGGAGAUACUUGUCCAAUUCUAAGAGAGGAGUUGCUUAGCGCGGGCUUAGCUUUCCUUGAUAUUUCCCUUUGACUUUGUAGAAGGAUUCAGCUUCUAACCGUCCAUUGACUUGGACAAUUUAUUGACUAUUGACCUCAAAUCAGGUAGG
rnacentral:rRNA from 1 species